rnacentral:rRNA from 1 species
AUGAACGUGUUCUGGGUUGGUGCUGUGUCUCCCACAGAAACGAUUGUUCAUGGACAGGAAAAGGCGUUUAGGGAGGCAACCACCAUCUUUGUGGGAGCCAUUUUUACUAUGAUCAGAGACAAGUUGGUUGACACAUAUCUCCAUAUGCACGUUGCCAAAAACUUGUGGGAUGCCCUCGAAGCUAAGUUCGGCGCAACAGACGCUGGGAGCGAACUGUAUGUGAUGGAGCAGUUCCAUGAUUGCAGGAUGGUUGAUAACCGUUCUGUAUUAGACCAGGCUCAUGAGAUACAGUGCAUCGCUAAGGAGCCAGACCUCCUAAAGUGUGAGUUACUGUAA